GAUGAACGCUAGCGAUAGGCUUAACACAUGCAAGUCGAGGGGCAGCAUGGUCUUAGCUUGCUAAGACUGAUGGCGACCGGCGCACGGGUGCGUAACGCGUAUGCAACUUGCCUCACAGAGGGGGAUAACCCGUCGAAAGACGGACUAAUACCGCGUACACUUGGGAUAGGGCAUCCUGACCCAAGGAAAUGAACUUCGCUGUGAGAUAGGCAUGCGUCCCAUUAGCUAGUUGGUGAGGUAACGGCUCACCAAGGCGACGAUGGGUAGGGGAACUGAGAGGUUGAACCCCCACACUGGUACUGAGACACGGACCAGACUCCUACGGGAGGCAGCAGUGAGGAAUAUUGGUCAAUGGGCGAGAGCCUGAACCAGCCAAGUCGCGUGAAGGAUGACUGUCUUAUGGAUUGUAAACUUCUUUUAUACGGGAAUAACAAGAGCCACGUGUGGCUCCCUGCAUGUACCGUAUGAAUAAGCAUCGGCUAACUCCGUG
rnacentral:rRNA from 1 species